GACCCACAUAAAGGGUGAACCGGACGGCACUGCACGAUAAGCGAUUUGGAGGGGAGUCUCAUUCCUCAAGCCUAGCGUAUAAGCAGUUGAACGAAAGAAAAAAAACUGGGUUCAAUCGAGUUUUUCCCUCUGUAGCGUACUGCAGAAUUUGAAGAGAAAUACGGGCACCCAGAGGAAACAUGUUAUCAAAGAAGUUUUUUUACAGCUUGAUCACAUACCCAGUGUGAGAGUCCACCCGAUAUAGGUUCAGAUUCCUACUUGUUUUUAGCCGUCCUGAAUUGAGCAUUUUUUUCGUCAACACUUCUACAACAGAUGUCGGCUGUGAAAAACGGAUCUCUUGUGGAUGCUAGUCCUUCUGAAACAUCUACAGGUGAAAAGCGGAAAAGAGAUGGCAAGAUAAGAUCUAAAGUUUGGGAUCAUUUCACGAAAGUUGAGAAUAAGCCUGAAUGUGUUUGCAAUCACUGUGAAAGGGUUUUCUCCUGUACAACCAAUGGAGGAACAACCCAUUUGAAGCGUCAUAUAUUCUGGAGACGAUGCAAAGUGUAUAACCAAAAGAACGAGGACAAUUCUGAAAAAUGUCUGAGCGAUGCAAAUGGGAGUUUGGAGCAAGAGAGUGAGUUCAUCCGAAAGAAAUUUGACCAGGAACGUAGUUGGCGUGACCUUACAGAACUUAUAAUUAAGUGGGAGUUGCCAUUUAAUUUGGUAGAAGACCCUUCGUUUCAAAAGUAUGUUCGGGGUAUAUACCCGAAGUAUAAGUUUCUUUCUUGGGAUGCAAUGAGGAACGGUUGUGUGAAACAAUAUGAGACUGAGAAGAAAUUUAUAAAGGAGAUUUUGGGAAGUUCCAAGCCAAGGGUAUGUUUAACAACUGAAACGUGGACCUCUGAUAAAGACUUGCCUUAUAUGGCACUUAGAGUUCACUUCAUCGAUAAUGGUUGGAAGUUACAUACCAGGAUCAUUAAGUUUGCUAUGGUGCCCGUUGAGGAAAGUGGGGAGAAUCUUGCAGAAAUUAUUACUAAUUCUUUGCUAGAGUGGAAUAUUGACAAGAUAUGUACCAUUACAUUGGGUAAUUGUAUCGCAAAUGAUGUUCUUGCAAGAAGCCUUUUACAGCAUUAUUCUUCUCGAGGAUCGCUAUUACUCCAAGGUCGUGCUAUUCAAGUGCGUUGUUGGGGUCAUGUUUUGAACUUAAUUGUUCAAGAAGGACUUGAUGAGAUUAAGGAUUCAAUUCGCCGAGUUCGAAAUGCGGUGAAAUAUGUCAAGGUGUCCCCGAGGAGAAAAAUUGAUUUUCUUCAGUAUGCCGAUCAAGAAGGUAUUUCUCGUGGCAAGAUGCUGGUUUUAGAUCUGUCCACACGGUGGGAUACUACAUACAAGAUGCUUGGUUCAGCUUUGCAUUAUCAGAGAGCAUAUGACCGUAUGCGAUCACGUGACCCGCAUUUUAAGAAUCCACCUACUCCUGAGGAUUGGGAAAAGGCUAAGAUUAUUCGUCAUUUCCUUAAAACCUUUUCUAUUGUGACAAAGACCUUGUCCGGAGCCAAAGGUUGUACGGCAAAUGUGUUCUUUUAUGAGGUUUGUAGAAUUUUAACGUAUUUGCGCGACGCGGCUACUGAUUUGGGCUCUAUACUUGGAAGGUUGGCAUUGAAUGUGCUAGAGAAGUUUGAGAAGUAUUGGAUAGAAAAAGAACCAAACAUUCUGCUUUCCAUAGCUGUUGUUCUUGAUCCUAGAUUCAAGCUUCAGUACCUGAGGUUCUGCUACAACAAGAUUUAUGAUUCUAGUUUGGUAGGAGAUUUAAUGGGACGCGUGGAAGAUGAGUUUCGUAAACUUUUCGAUGAGUAUGCGGCUCAGUGUGAGGCUUCAAGCAAGAGUAGUGAUGAGGGUACUUCAUUGGUUACAAGAACCUCUUCUUUCAAGAAUAAAACGAACUUCAUGGAGGAGUUUUACUCCUUUAGUGGGGAGGAAGAUGUCUUCCAAAGUAAGGCAGAGUUAGAUGUCUACCUAGAGGAAAAUCUCCACCGAAGCAAAACUCCAGGCGAUGAGGAAGAAUUCGAUAUUUUGCAAUGGUGGAAGGCUAAUUUGUCUAAGUUUCCAGUGUUAUCUAGGAUGGCACAUGACAUUUUAGCCAUUCCAGUGUCUUCAAUACCUUCGAAGUGUGCAUUUAGUACUGAUGGCGGGGUUCUUAACAAGUUUCAGAGUUCGUUGCUUCCUUCCACAAUUGAGGCAUUGGUUUGUACACAAGAUUGGAUUCGAGGUGAGCCAGUGCGGACUGAGUUUGAGGAGGAAAUUGAUAUGCAUUUUGCAGCUCUUAAUAUAUCGCAAGAUCUGGAUUCUGAUUAGCUCCUGUUUUACCUGGCAUUCAACAGUUUGCGAAGAGUAUAACGGUAGUUGCAGAGAAGGGUGAUGUAGUUUUUUCUUUGAAAGGCAUUGGUUUUAUUCUUGAUGAGGAAUGUGUAUGAGGAAGAGCAUAGUUAAAUGGGAUAUGGUUUGGAAGACCGUUAUCUGGGAGAAGAAUCAAGAAUCAAUUAUUGCCACUCUUGCCGAGGAAGAUUUUAAGAUACGAAAGAAUUCGUACUGUAUGGGAGAGGGACACUGAAGUCUUGAUUCAAAAAUGUAAGACAAACACGUCAAAGCUGGUACCAUGAGAGAAGAAGUGUUGGAUUGGCAAGUAGAAUGUAAGUACGACGCUCGACAAAACAGUUGUGUUCACGCAUUGCUGGGAAGAGCCUGCUUGUUCCCUUCACUGUGUGUACCAUGUUAGAAAUAUCAAACAAUGCACAUUUGAAAGAGCUUGGAUGGAGGCUGCUUUUGCAGGAACAGGUUGAUGAUGAAGUAAUCCUUGAAGGACCAACAGAGUUUGGUGAGGAGGCCAGGGCCAUAGUUGUUGAGUGCAUGUCCAAACUAUUUGACGGCAAGAAAAUCCCUAAAGGCCCGACCAUGUCCGGUUGGUUUGAGCAUCUUUUUUGACCAGCAGAAACUACGAUUGUAUCGAAAAACCCCGUAAAGGGUAAUCUGGGUACAGCAGGUUUGAGCAUCUUAUUCGUUGCAGCAAAAUUUCUGCAGCUGCAGCAUGGGCAGUUCAGGCAUCCCAGUGAAACGACGUGUCCAACUUAUUAUCCAGAAGUUUAGUCGGUUCGUGCUGGUUUUUGGCCCGUCAAUUUUGUUGAUGCUGGCGUGAUUAGCUUGGCAUUGGGUUACCUAACACGAAUUUUGGUUACUCGGGGAAAGUUCCACCAAUGUACAUAGAAGGUUUUUAACAUUUAGCCAUGGAGUGUUUGUAUGCCCCUGUCAAUGUGUGAGACUGCGAUCUUGGCCCGGAGAAGAAAUCUGGGCAACAAUUUUUGGGAAGGUGGGAAUCAAGUGUUGUUUCACAUAGGGAAAUGAAUCUAUUCACAUACAUUAGCUGUAAUUUUAUUUAGUGGAAAUAAUUUGACUAUUGACAAUGGUAAAAAAAAAAACAAAAAUUUUAACGGAAAA